UACACAUCCUCGAACAGCACGUCGUCGUCCGCCAUGGUCAUUCAGGUAAACGAGGAUGCUCUCCUCAAGAUAUCCCACCCACACCACUGGCUCCGAAGGGAUCAAUGACAACGUAAUUUCUUGCUGAAUGGGCUUACAGCUUUUUGCAGGUGCGGGUGUUCCCCUGGUGCAGACACGCAGGUGGGGUCUCCUCAGGUGUGGAAAGACGAGCGGAGAUGCCCCCUAGAGGUGAUGGUAGAAGGCGUAUAUCUCCCACUGCUCCAUUUUGAAUACCCUAUGGAGAUAUUGUUCCAAGAAGAAAAUGAGGGGAAAAGUGGAAUAAAUUAAUAAAUAAAUGAGAAAAUCCAA